rnacentral:rRNA from 1 species
UUGGAGGGCAAGUCUGGUGCCAGCAGCCGCGGUAAUUCCAGCUCCAAUAGCGUAUAUUAAAGUUGUUGCAGUUAAAAAGCUCGUAGUUGAAUUUCGGGGUCAGCAGGUUGGUCGUGCCAAUGGUAUGCACUGGCCUUGGUGAUUCCUCCCUCUUGUAGAACCGUAAUGCCAUUAAUUUGGUGUUGCGGGGAAACAGGACUGUUACUUUGAAAAAAUUAGAGUGCUUAAAGCAGGCUUGCGCUUGAAUACAUUAGCAUGGAAUAACGGAAUAGGACGCUCGAUUCUAUUUUGUUGGUUUCUAGGAUUGACGUAAUGAUUAAUAGGGAUAGUUGGGGGCAUUAGUAUUCAAUUGUCAGAGGUGAAAUUCUUGGAUUUAUUGAAGACUAACUACUGCGAAAGCAUUUGCCAAGGAUGUUUUCAUUAAUCAAGAACGAAAGUUAGGGGAUCGAAGACGAUCAGAUACCGUCGUAGUCUUAACCAUAAACUAUGCCGACUAGGGAUCGGAUGAAGUUAAUUUUUUAAUGACUCAUUCGGCGCCUUACGGGAAAC